GCGCACGGGUGAGUAACGCGUAUGCAACCUACCUAUCAGAGGGGAAUAACCCGGCGAAAGUCGGACUAAUACCGCAUAAAACAGGGGUUCCACAUGGAAAUAUUUGUUAAAGAAUUAUCGCUGAUAGAUGGGCAUGCGUUCCAUUAGAUAGUUGGUGAGGUAACGGCUCACCAAGUCCACGAUGGAUAGGGGUUCUGAGAGGAAGGUCCCCCACACUGGUACUGAGACACGGACCAGACUCCUACGGGAGGCAGCAGUGAGGAAUAUUGGUCAAUGGGCGAGAGCCUGAACCAGCCAAGUCGCGUGAAGGAUGAAGGAUCUAUGGUUUGUAAACUUCUUUUAUAUGGGAAUAAAGUGAGGAACGUGUUCCUUUUUGUAUGUACCAUAUGAAUAAGCAUCGGCUAACUCCGUGCCAGCAGCCGCGGUAAUACGGAGGAUGCGAGCGUUAUCCGGAUUUAUUGGGUUUAAAGGGUGCGUAGGUGGUUAAUUAAGUCAGCGGUGAAAGUUUGUGGCUCAACCAUAAAAUUGCCGUUGAAACUGGUUGACUUGAGUAUAUUUGAGGUAGGCGGAAUGCGUGGUGUAG
rnacentral:rRNA from 1 species